rfam:Streptococcus henryi strain A-4 genome assembly, contig: IE83DRAFT_scaffold00032.32
UUUAUUGUGAGGUAUUGGGGAGAGGAAAGAAAGUGAAAUCAUGGCAUUGUGAACAGAAAUGUGAUACUAAUACGUAUUUAGCAGAUUAGGUGGCUAGGAACGCUAAAGUCCAACAAAGUAGUCGUUAUCUGUAGGUUUAAAUCACGAUUGUAAAUAAGGGAAAAUACA